rnacentral:rRNA from 1 species
AAUCAACGCUGGCGGCGUGCCUAACACAUGCAAGUCGAGCGAGAAAGGGAGCUUCGGCUCCUGAGUACAGCGGCGGACGGGUGAGUAACACGUGGGUAAUCUACCCUCGGGUGGGGAAUAACUCAGGGAAACCUGAGCUAAUUCCGCAUGACAUUCCUGGUACUCAAGCAUCGGGAAUCAAAGCUGGGGACCCUUCGGGGCCUGGCGCCUGGGGAGGAGCCCGCGGCCAAUUAGCUUGAUGGUGGGGUAAUGGCUCACCAUGGCUACGAUUGGUAGCCGGCCUGAGAGGGCGGACGGUCACACUGGGACUGAGACACGGCCCAGACUCCUACGGGAGGCAGCAGUGGGGAAUUUUUGUCAAUGGGGAAACCCUGAACAAGCAACGCCGCGUGGAGGACGAAGACCCUCGGGUUGUAAACUCCUGUCGGAGGGGACGAAGGCGGUAUUGGUUAAUACCCAGUAUCGUUGACGGUACCCUACGAGGAAGCCCCGGCUAACUCCGUG